CAGCGGAGGAAAAGAAACCAACAGGGAUUCCCCUAGUAACGGCGAGUGAAGCGGGAACAGCUCAAAUUUGAAAUCUGGCCCUCGGGUCCGAGUUGUAAUUUGCAGAGGAUGCUUUUGGCGCGGUGCCUUCCGAGUUCCCUGGAACGGGACGCCUUAGAGGGUGAGAGCCCCGUACGGUUGGCCACCAAGCCUGUGUAAAGCUCCUUCGACGAGUCGAGUAGUUUGGGAAUGCUGCUCAAAACGGGAGGUAUAUUUCUUCUAAAGCUAAAUACUGGCCAGAGACCGAUAGCGCACAAGUAGAGUGAUCGAAAGAUGAAAAGCACUUUGAAAAGAGGGUUAAAUAGCACGUGAAAUUGUUGAAAGGGAAGGGUUUAUGACCAGACUUUUUCUAGGGGGAUCAUCCGGUGUUCUCACCGGUGCACUUCCCCUAGUUGAGGCCAGCAUCGGUUUCUGCCGGGGGAUAAAAGCUUCGGGAAUGUGGCUCCUUCGGGAGUGUUAUAGCCCGUUGUAUAAUACCCUGGCGGGGACCGAGGUUCGCGCAUUCGCAAGGAUGCUGGCGUAAUGGUUAUUAACCACCCGUCUUGAAACACGGACCAAGGAGUCGAACAUUUGUGCGAGUGUUUGGGUGUUAAACCCUCACGCGUAAUGAAAGUGAACGGAGGUGAGAGCCUUUAGGGGUGCAUCAUCGACCGAUCCUGAUGUCUUCGGAUGGAUUUGAGUAGGAGCAUCACUGUUCGGACCCGAAAGAUGGUGAACUAUGCGUGGAUAGGGUGAAGCCAGAGGAAACUCUGGUGGAGGCUCGCAGCGGUUCUGACGUGCAAAUCGAUCGUCAAAUCUGCGCAUGGGGGCGAAAGACUAAUCGAACCAUCUAGUAGCUGGUUACCGCCGAAGUUUCCCUCAGGAUAGCAGUGUUGUGUUUAGUUUUAUGAGGUAAAGCGAAUGAUUAGGGACUCGGGGGCUAUUUACUGCCUUCAUCCAUUCUCAAACUUUAAAUAUGUAAGAAGUCCUUGUUGCUUUAGUGAACGUGGGCAUUCGAAUAAAUCAACACUAGUGGGCCAUUUUUGGUAAGCAGAACUGGCGAUGC
rnacentral:rRNA from 1 species